CUGGAGAUGGGAACUCUAGGAUUGAAGACCCCAGAAAGCUCUCAAUGGCGCUGUUAUCCCGGAGAAGUAGGAAACUGGUGUGGUGUCCAGAGGAGGCUGAUCAACAGGAGAGGAAUAGGUGAACUACCGUACGAUUUCUCCAAAGCUCGGGCCAAUCAAGCAAUUAUGGACUGAACCCUCCAAAACCAAACCGUGAUCUGAAUGAAACUUUUCCCUCUCAAGCUGAUUUGUCUGGGUCCGGGGACAGAAAGGUCCGGGUAACAUAGUGUGCGCUUGUCAAACACAUUUCUGUAUCAUCCAUUAGAAGAAUGAGCAUGGCCCCAAGCUUAGCUA